AGCGGACCUCAUAAAGUGCGUCGUAGUCCGGAUUGGAGUCUGCAACUCGACUCCAUGAAGUCGGAAUCGCUAGUAAUCGUGGAUCAGAAUGCCACGGUGAAUACGUUCCCGGGCCUUGUACACACCGCCCGUCACACCAUGGGAGUGGGUUGCAAAAGAAGUAGGUAGCUUAACCUUCGGGAGGGCGCUUACCACUUUGUGAUUCAUGACUGGGGUGAAGUCGUAACAAGGUAACCGUAGGGGAACCUGCGGUUGGAUCACCUCCUUA
rnacentral:rRNA from 1 species